CGCUAUCGAAAAUCAUGCAUUGGAUGGAUGCCCGGGCAUUGAGAAGGAAGGACGCUUUCAGAGGUGAAAGGCCAUGGGGAGAGAUUUUUCUGUGAUCCAUGGAUCUCCGGUCGGGAAACUGUAUCCAAGCUCCAUGGCUAGUCUGCGCUCUUUGGACUUUUCAAACUUAGCGAACUGAAACAUCUGAGUAGCUAAAGGAAGGAAAAUCAACCGAGAACCCGUUAGUAGCGGCGAGCGAGAGCGAAACAAGGGUUUUCAUCAAAAGAAAUCCGAAGCGGUUUCAUUAGAUUUGUUGUGGAUUGGAUGAUGGAAAAACCAGCAAGCAGCAAGCGUAGUUAGAAAAGUUGCCGUAGCACGCCCUACAGAGUUGUACAAAGUCAGCAACCGUUUUAGGGCGCAAGCAUAGGCAACACAUGAUUGAUGACGGGGUGGGGUGCACAGUGAACUAGUUUUCUAAAAAGAUUGGAAGAUCCGGCCAAAGAAGAUGAUGGCCCUGUUCAUUCAUUCCCAUGGUUCGAUCCUUCCCAGUAAAACGCGGCGUGUUCGAAUGAUGAUCACUUUUACACGAGAAAGGGGGACCACCCUCUAAGCCUAAGUAUUCCUCAAUGGCCGAUAGCAUACAAGUACCAUGAGGGAAAGGUGAAAAGAACCCCAAUCGGGGAGUGCAAUAGAGAACCUGAGAUCUGAUGCAAACAAUCAGUCGAAGGAGCGGAGUGUGGGCGCACUCACUCUAACGGCGUACCUUUCGCAUGAUGGGUCAGCGAGGAAAUGGGAACAACGGCUUAAGCCAUUAGGUGUAGGCGCUUUCCAGAGGUGGAAGAUUUAUGUUCUUCCUAUUUGACCCGAAACCGAUCGAUCUAGCCAUGAGCAGGUUGAAGAGAGCUCUAACAGGCCUUGGAGGACCGAACCCACGUAUGUGGCAAAAUAUGGGGAUGACUUGUGGCUAGGGGUGAAAGGCCAACCAAGAUAAGAUAUAGCUGGUUUUCCAUGAAAUCUAUUUUAGUAGAGCGUAUGAUGUUGAUGGCCUGAGGUAGAGCACUCAAUGGGCUAGGGUGGCCCCCAUUUCACUUUACCAACCCCAGGGAAACUCCGAAUACAGGCCGUCAUCCUUAGUACAGACAGACUGAUUGGGUGCUAAGAUCCAAAGUCGAGAGGGAAACAGCCCAGAUCGUACGCUAAGGUCCCUAAGCAAUCACUUAGUGGAAAAGGAAGUGAUCGAGCGAUGACAACCAGGAGGUGGGCUUGGAAGCAGCCAUCCUUUGAAGAAAGCGUCAUAGCUCACUAGUCUAGCUCCGUGUCACCGAAAAUGUCUCAGGACUCAAGUGGUUCACCGAAGCAACGAGACCUUGAAAGCAGCUUUUUCAAGUGUCAGUAGUGAGAUGUUCUGUCAAUCGGGGAAGGUUUUUGGUGACAAGACCUGGAGAUAUCAGAAGUGAGAAUGCUGACAUGAGUAACGAGAAAUCCUGUGAAAAACACGAUCGCCUGCCAGUGGAAGGCUUUCUGCGUUCAGUCAAUCUACGCAGAGUGAAUCGGUCCCUAAGGAACCCCCGAAAGGGCUGCCGUCCGAUGGGUACACGAAAGUGACAAAGUUGCUUUGACUACUGAACCAUGCCUGGAUCGUCAGAGCGAAUUGGAUGAUCGGGCCGAGGGCUGCCCCCUCUUCCCCUCGCUCUCCUUUCCUUAAUAUUCACCAUCGAGUCAUCAAAGCCGUCAACUAAUUCAGAGGGGCUCGGCUGGCCCGGUCGCCCUACGCUACUGGCGCUUCCAAAGGCGAAGCUCUCGUCUUUGGCGACCAGCAAACGGAGGGCUAAAACCUAUAGUUUUAAAGCAAGGGAUGAGCGCGAAAGCCGUUGCGCUUCCGUACACGUGCAUACGUUUUCUUGCUGGGGCGGAUACGGAUUUCUCUCUAAAGGUGAAGAAAAAGAAGUGGGCGAACACUCGGCCCAGCAGGCGAACAUGCCGGCUCCGGCUCCGCGCACCUGUUGACACCUUUAGAAGCACUUUCAUGUGUGAACCGAAGUCGUCUUGCCGAACUCCUUCCUUUCUCAUUUCAGUCCUCGCCUUUUUCAUCUUCCGUAGGGGCCUUUAGUCUUUUGAUUAGAGUGGAGGUCGCGAGAGAGCAGAGCGUACCGCCCUGCCAUAGUCACGAGGAUCUUAAUAGUCGGUCACGACUGUUGUCAUAGUCAAUGACGGUUGAAACUUCCAGGAAAAAACUUCGAAUUGGGAGGGCGAUCCUCCCGGUGAACUGACCGUACCCCAAACUGACACAGGUGAACAAGUAGAGUAUACUAGGGCGCGUCGAGAGAACCAUGUCGAAGGAACUCGGCAAAAUGACCCCGUAACUUCGGGAGAAGGGGUGCUCUCCUAUCUUUUGAUUAGGAAAGCGG
rfam:Triticum aestivum genome assembly, contig: Triticum_aestivum_CS42_TGACv1_scaffold_233772_3B